CUCCGCUCCAUCGACGGGCAGAAGCGAGAUUCAACAGCAAGCGAAAAAGGAAACUGUGAAGCGGCGAGGGCAGACAAUGGGUGCAGCCCUACGUAAGGAAGCGUCCGAGUACUUCACGGCGGCGCUGACGUCCGACGCCGCCGCCGCCCCUGGCGAGUCGGAGUUCCUUGAAAAGGUGAAGCAGUAUGAGCGCGGUCUCUGCGGUGGCUCGGAGCUCUACGGCGUGGCGGAGCCGAUCGCCGCCGCGGUGAUGAGCAAGGCCGCCGAGACGGGGAGCGUGCGCUGGCUGCUGCGGCUGUGUAGCGAGGCCAUGCGCCGGUGUGUUGAAGCCCCCUACGGCGUAGAUGCCAGCACGCCGGCGGUGCUGCACCUCGCGGAGGUGCUGCUGCGCCACAUCCUGCGGCUGACGAAAGGGCAGUCCGCGCAGCUCAUCGGUGUCCUGGAGGCGGUCGGGGCACGCGGUGAGACGGCGCCGUCGAACGGCGCGCCAUGUGAGGACACCGCAGCGCUGCUGUGCCGUAUGGCAUUUUCUUUCUUGGUGAGCGUGCCGCUUGACUCGGCGACGGUGGCGACGCACUUGGAAGUGCUGCGACUGCUGCUAACGAUGACGUCGUCGGCGCUGCACCACGGCACGGACUUUCAGGAGGACACCAUGGAUCUCUUCACGGAGCUGAUGAUGUCGUCGCCGCUGCUGGGCGACUGCCUUGCCGUACUGCUCCAGACUGUCGUCUUGUGGGGAAAGCCAAGCUGGACGGCGCAGUCGCCGGCGCUCUACCAUGAAGGGCAUCAACCCUCUUUCCUCAACCUGUUCAACAUCUUUAGCACCACCGUCAGUGCGCCCCGGCUCGCGAGCGGCAAGGCCGCGUAUGUGCUUGACGUGCCGAGCUCGACGACGGUCAACUCCGCCGCCGCCAGUGGCGCUGGUGGGCCUAGCGCGUUGAAGGCCGGCGCGCUCCCCAAGGACCCUGCCGCAGUGCUAGUAAACAGCUGUAGCUGCUGGGAGCAGGUGGGCCGCCACGCGACGGCGCUGCUGUGCGUGCUGGUCGUUCAUCAAAAAGGCGGUGGCCGGAACCCGGCCCUCGAGUACGUGACGGCGACACGGGACGGAAGCCCAGUGUCCUUCGUCGCCCUGCUCUCGGCCAUCCGGUGCCAGCUGACAAGCUUCCCGGAGCUGUCGAUCUUGCUCUAUGUGCUGCUGCACGACCAUUACGAGUUCCUGCACACGGUGCUGACUGAGGAUGCUGCCCUGCUCGUCUCGACGCUGCAGCAGCUGCUGGAGAUAACAAACAAGACGUGCAGGGUCACGACGCGGCUUGCCACGACUACGGCUGCCGAUGCAGCCGACGACGUGCUGCAGAAUGCCGUGCUGGGGCGGAUCAUCUUCCAGCUCCGCAUCUUCUCGUACCCCUUCAUCAACUUCAUGUCGAGUACACUGCUGCUGCUCGUCUCGCAGGACCGCGUCGUCAACCGGCUGCUGUGCAACACGCCGUGCCUUGGCAGGCACGUGCUGGAGCGCUACGACGCAAGCGCCUCUGUCGGCGCGCUUGCCGUCGUGGUGCUCUCGCGUGGCAUCAUCAAGGGGUUGAAUGAGCGCAACGAGGCGCUCAUCGCCGUGUUUGCCCCGUGCCUUGUGAACCUCGCCCCUUUCUUGCACGACAUGGACACGUACACGGCGCAGCGCGUGUGCGCGCUGCUGACAACGGCGCUCAAGAAGAUACACCGCGCAAGCGCACUCUUGACGGAGUGUACGGCGGCAGCAGCGGCAACGACGACCGCCGAAGGCCAAACAGGCGGAAGCAUCACGGCAGCGGCGACGUCCGCCGAGGAUGCCCAGGCGCUGGAACAGAUCCUCGCCAUGUACGUGCGUCAGCUACGCAUCAUUUUAGAAGGCGUCGAGGCGCUGCUGCGCGGUGCCGACCGACGCAACGAGCAUCUUAUCUACGAGCUGCUCUACGUCCGCAGCUGCAUCAUCGACGACGUCGACGCCGCUGUCGACGCGCAGCGCCCGUACGCCCAGCCAACAAAGCAGCUGCUCGCGAACCUGGCGGAGAUGAUCAAGAACUGCGAAGCGGACAUCGCCAGCUCCAACCAGGCGCAGAGCCCGCAGGAGAUCUUGGCAAUCCUGCGGCGUGGUCAGCAGCAGCAGCAGCAGCACGGCCAAAGCCAGAGCAGCAGCAUCAGCGGCAGUAAUGGCAAGGACGUGAGCGGCGGCGGCGACGACGACGCGAGCAACGACGAUCGCCGCAAUGGCAACAGCUGUGGUGGCGGCGGCGGCCACAAGGACGUCAGCUUAUCAAGGGCCGGCAGCUUGAUGUCUGCACCGGCAGUGGAGGCGAGCAUCGCCGCAGACGCGAUGGCGGGCCCAGAUGGCGCCUCCGUCGAUCUGGUGUACAGCUACGAGGAGUUACCGCACAGCUACGACUUCUUUGGGCCGUUUGUGUGGGCGACGUUGUUGAGCGCUGGCCAGCUACCCGGUGGGGCGCUGUGGUGUCGCCGCAGCAACGAGCUCCCGCUGUUUCCGCAUUGAUGCGGGGAAGUGGUCUAUGGUGGUGAGUAGUGCAGUACCCGAUCAUCCAGCCCACGGCACACGUGUGCGUGUGUGUGUGUGUGUGUGUCGAAGACCGCGGCGAGACGGCCCUCCUCCGCUUAGUUCCUGCCACGCCUCUCCAGCGUUCGCCCCACCCCCUUCUCUACGUCGGUGCUGAAGAGGGGGGAGCACGGAAGGUGCGCGGCGCGCCUGCAAGAAUCCGGACAGCAUAGAGAAAGUGAGGCGAAAGCCGCAUCGCACGCGCACGAUGCCACUCCCGCGAUGGAUAUUGGGCUCAUCCCUGUGUGUGCGAGAGUGCGUGGAAGUUUGCGCAUCUGGAUGGCAGGGCGUGUUCGCGUGCGCGCCGGGUGGCGAAAGGCGGGUACGGCGCGGGGCGGGGCGAGGGGGAGUUCUGGAUCGGAGGCACUGCGGGCGGCGUGCGCGGCGCCUCGUCCCUGUAUUGCUUUUGUUUUGUAUUUUUGCUCAUCGUCCAAACAGCAGCACCAAGACAGCGGAGCAGACCGGGAACGAGGGAGGGAGGGAGGGAGGGGAACGAUCUGGAACUCCACGAGAACGCAUGCGUGCACGCACACACACCCGCAGGCACGUGUGUAGAGAGAUACAGAUGGUUCCGCGUCUCCAUCUCGGUCUAUCAUGGAGCGCGUGCGUGCGUGCGCGUGUGUGUGCCCACCCCCUCAUGAGCUCCGCCGUGUGCAUGCUUCAUCAACAGCAACAGCAAGGCGGUGCCGUCUUGCUAGACGGACGGUACAUGUGCGCUGCCGCCUCCACAUCUCUCUAAUCCAUCUCUUCCUAUUCUGUACCUCGCAUCGAUGCAG
rnacentral:misc_RNA from 1 species